AGCAGCCGCGGUAAUUCCAGCUCCAAUAGCGUAUAUUAAAGUUGUUGCAGUUAAAAGCUCGUAGUUGAAUUUCGGGGUCAGUAGGUUGGUCGUGCCACCGGUACGUACUGGUCUCACUGAUUCCUCCUUCCUGAAGAACCGUAAUGUUAUUAAUUUGGUGUUGCGGGGAAUCUGGACUGUUACUUUGAAAAAUUAGAGUGUUUAAAGCAGGCUAACGCUUGAAUACAUUAGCAUGGAAUAAUGAAAUAGGACGUUCGAUCCUAUUUUGUUGGUUUCUAGGAUUGACGUAAUGAUUAAUAGGGAUAGUUGGGGCAUUAGUAUUCAAUUGUCGGAGGUGAAAUUCUUGGAUUUAUUGAAGACUAACUACUGCGAAAGCAUUUGCCAAGGAUGUUUUCAUUAAUCAAGAACGAAAGUUAGGGGAUCGAAGACGAUCAGAUACCGUCGUAGUCUUAACCAUAAACUAUGCCGACUAGGGAUCGGAUGAUGUUAAUUUUAUAAUGACUCAUUCGGCGCCUUACGG
rnacentral:rRNA from 1 species